ACGGAGGGUGCAAGCGUUAUCCGGAUUCACUGGGUUUAAAGGGUGCGUAGGAGGGCAGGUAAGUCAGUGGUGAAAUCUCCGAGCUUAACUUGGAAACUGCCGUUGAUACUAUCUGCCUUGAAUAUUGUGGAGGUGAGCGGAAUAUGUCAUGUAGCGGUGAAAUGCUUAGAUAUCGUAAGGAAGACCAGUGGCGAAGGCGGGUCUCUGGACAGUUCCUGACGCUGAGGCACGAAGGUCAGGGGAGCAAACGGGA
rnacentral:rRNA from 1 species